rnacentral:lncRNA from 12 species
UUAUCCUGGAAGAAUAGGAGAUUUUUUUAAUCAUAUAUUUUUCUAUAAAUAGUUUGAAGAUAUGCUUCUAUUUUAACCUCUGGUGUUGCAGAUGAGAAGUCAGAUACAAAUCUGAUUCACUAGACUUUGAAGGCAAACUUUUGUAUUUGUCUAGAAGUUUAUAGCUUUUAUACUGGGCUUGUGUUUCAGAACUUUCCCCAGGAAAUAUCUAGACCUGAGCUGUCCAAAGGAGAGUCACUAAUAUAUGACUAUUUAAGUGAAAGUGUUAGUUAAAUAAAAAUAAGUAAGAUUUGAAAGUCAGUUCCUUGGCCAUACCAUCUACAUUUCACAUGCUCCAGAGCUCUGUGGGGCUAGCAGCCACCAUGUUGCAUAGCACAGAGCACUUCCAUCAUUGCAGGAAGCUCUAUUGACCAGUGCUGGUCUGGUCUGUAUUACUAUUAUUAUUAUUAAUAGUAUUACUAACAUUGCAUGACAUUUACCGAACCCUUUCAACUUCAAAAUUGAAGCUUGCUUCAAUUCAAAAUGCUUCCUUCUAUUUAUUUAUAACUUUUCCAUCUAUUCUUUUUUCCUAUUGAAAUUCCUUAACACUGCAUAUAAUGUCUUAAUUCUCUAAAUCUCAUAAUUUCAUUCAUUCUCCUUUCUCCCUGCAUGUUUCCUUAAUGAGAUCUUUAACUUAGUGAUUAGCAAUGACUAUUCCCUUUAUCAAUUCUUCCAUUAAAUGUCUUAUUUUGCAAAAUGUAUAUUUUUGCUAAAAAUUUCUUUUUGGGGGUUCUGUGAAUGUGUCUACUUGAAUCCUUUUUUUUUUCUUUUAAGUUACACUUGUGUUCAUUUCUUCCACUCUGGAGCCAUAGUGUUUCAGCUGCUCAAUCAGAUCCAGUCACAGCCCAGCUGAUCCUGCCUCCCUCACAUCUUCCAUCAUCCCACUCCAUUCAAUGAGGAGGAGGAGCUAGCUAUGAGACUCAUUGGUGAUGACUCACCUGCCAGUCUGGGCUCCUUCAAUAUCCCCUCAUUAACAGUGACAUGAGUCUAUGUCGAGGAUGGAAAGACAGAAGUUUACAACCUGCUCAACCCUGUUCCAGGCACCAGAAGGCAAAGCAAGAGCCUAUCAUUAUCUCCUCAGCUCAGGUUCUUUGAGAAAAUUGCCAGUGCUGAACAAUAGGAGGGAGGAGAGAGGUCUGAGGCCCUGUUGGUGACUUUCCUCAUGCUGCCAUCUUAUUAUACCCAAAUUUUACUUUGGGUGAAAUAAAUGAGAAUAAAAAUGGACA